rnacentral:rRNA from 1 species
AACGAACGCUGGCGGCAUGCCUAACACAUGCAAGUCGAACGAGACCUUCGGGUCUAGUGGCGCACGGGUGCGUAACGCGUGGGAACCUGCCCUUAGGUUCGGAAUAACUCCCCGAAAGGGGUGCUAAUACCGGAUAAUGUCUUCGGACCAAAGAUUUGUCGCCUUUGGAUGGGCCCGCGUUGGAUUAGCUAGUUGGUAGGGUAAAAGCCUACCAAGGCGACGAUCCAUAGCUGGUCUGAGAGGAUGAUCAGCCACACUGGGACUGAGAAACGGCCCAGACUCCUACGGGAGGCGGCAGUGGGGAAUAUUGGACAGUGGGGGAAAGCAUGAACCAGCAAGGCCGCGUGAGUGAUGAAGGCCUUAGGGUUGUAAAGCUAUUUUACCCGGGAUGAUAAUGACAGUACCGGGAGAAUAAGCACCGGCUAACUCCGUG